rnacentral:misc_RNA from 1 species
CUGAAGUGGAAACAACAAAACAAAAUUGGAAACGAUGUCGAAAUUUCACGAACACAGUAAUAAAUAAUUAAUUAAAUCAUCAAAUUCAAACGCAGAUAGUGAUUUGCAUACUCUACACAGACACACUCAGAUUUGUAUGGUGAUUUUACUCAAUAGGAAGAAGAAGAAGCUUUGGCCGAGACACCCAACUUAUGGCUACGGGCAGCGAUAGGGUGGCAGUCGAGCUCUGUAAAGGCAUCAAUGGUCUCGACAAAGUUGUUCUCCGUGAGUCUCGUGGCAGUUCUGUUGAGGUAUACUUGUAUGGUGGUCAAGUAACAUCUUGGAAAAAUGACCAUGGCGAGGAGUUGCUUUUUGUUAGCAGUAAGGCUAUAUUUAAACCUCCAAAGGCAAUUCUUGGAGGCAUUCCAAUAUGCUUUCCUCAAUUUGGGAGUCAUGGUGGUCUUGAGCAGCAUGGCUUUGCGAGGAAUAGAGUUUGGAGCAUUGACACUGACCCGCCUCCUUUUCCAACUGUUUCUUCAAAUAAGGCUUUUGUUGAUUUGAUCCUUAAGCCCACUGAAGAAGAUAUGAAGAUCUGGCCUCACAGUUUUGAGUUCCGUUUGAGGGUGGCUUUGGGACCUGGUGGAGAUCUGAUGCUGACAUCACGCAUAAGGAAUACCAAUGCUGAUGGAAAGCCAUUUUCAUUCACAUUUGCAUACCACACUUACUUCUCUGUUUCAGACAUCAGUGAAGUUCGGGUUGAAGGCUUGGAAACGCUGGAUUAUCUUGACAACCUACAGAGCAAGGAGCGUUUUACCGAGCAAGGGGAUGCUAUAACUUUUGAAUC